rnacentral:rRNA from 1 species
CAAGCAGAAGACGGCAUACGAGAUGUGACUGGAGUUCAGACGUGUGCUCUUCCGAUCUCUCCACCCAGACUCAUCCAUAUAUCAUCCCAUAGAGAGUUUCUGUUGGUGCUGAUAUUAGGCAAAUCCGGGGUCUUAGAUGAGGGGUGAUAAGGAGUCUGCUUGCAGACGAACUGAGUGAUACCCUGCUUCCAGGAAAAGCCACUAAGCUCCAGCUACACACGACCGUACCGCAAACCGACACUGGUGCGCGAGAUGAGUAUUCUCAGGCGCUUGAGAGAACUCUGGAGAAGGAACUCGGCAAAUUGACACCGUAACUUCGGAAGAAGGUGUGCCUUUAGUAGGUGAACCAUUGACUUGGGGAGCCCAAUGAGGUUGCAAAGAAUCGGUGGCUGCAACUGUUUAAUAAAAACACAGCACUCUGCAAAGACGAAAGUCGACGUAUAGGGUGUGACGCCUGCCCGGUGCUGGAAGAUUAAAUGAUGGGGUGCAAGCUCUUGACUGAAGUCCCAGUAAACGGCGGCCGUAACAAUAACGGUCCUAAGGUAGCGAAAUUCCUUGUCGGGUAAGUUCCGACCUGCACGAAUGGCGUAAUGAUGGCCACACUGUCUCCUCCAGAGACUCAGCGAAGUUGAAAUGUUUGUGAUGAUGCAAUCUCCCCGCGGAAAGACGGAAAGACCCCAUGAACCUUUACUGUAGCUUUACAUUGGACUUUGAACAGAUCUGUGUAGGAUAGGUGGGAGGCUUUGAAACCUGGUCGCUAGAUCAGGUGGAGCCAACGUUGAAGUACCACCCUGUGUGUUUGAGGUUCUAACCUUGUCCCGUUAUCCGGGAUGGGGACAGUGUAUGGUGGGCAGUUUGACUGGGGCGGUCUCCUCCCAAAGUGUAACGGAGGAGUUCGAAGGUACGCUAAAUACGGUCGGAAAUCGUGUUGAUAGUGCAUUGGCAUAAGCGUGCUUGACUGCGAGACUGACAAGUCGAGCAGGUACGAAAGUAGGACAAAGUGAUCCGGUGGUUCUGUAUGGAAGGGCCAUCGCUCAACGGAUAAAAGGUACUCUGGGGAUAACAGGCUGAUACCGCCCAAGAGUUCAUAUCGACGGCGGUGUUUGGCACCUCGAUGUCGGCUCAUCUCAUCCUGGGGCUGUAGCCGGUCCCAAGGGUAUGGCUGUUCGCCAUUUAAAGAGGUACGUGAGCUGGGUUUAAAACGUCGUGAGACAGUUUGGUCCCUAUCUUCCGUGGGCGCUGCAGAUUUGAGGAAGCCUGCUCCUAGUACGAGAGGACCGGAGUGGACGCACCUCUGGUGUACCGGUUGUCACGCCAGUGGCAUCGCCGGGUAGCUAUGUGCGGAAGAGAUAACCGCUGAAAGCAUCUAAGCGGGAAACUCGUUUCAAGAUGAGAUCUGCCGGGGCCUUGAGCCCCCUGAAGAGUCGUUCUAGACCAGGACGUUGAUAGGCUGGGUGUGGAAGCGCAGUAAUGUGUUAAGCUAACCAGUACUAAUUGCUCGUGAGGCUUGACCCU